rnacentral:tRNA from 1 species
UGCCUCGUAGUGUAACGGUAGCACUAGAGACUCUGAAUCUCUCUGUCUAGGUUCGAAUCCUAGCGAGGCAGCCA